rnacentral:miRNA from 2 species
AUUGGGAACAUUUUGCAUAAAU